AACGAACGCUGGCGGCAUGCCUAACACAUGCAAGUCGAACGAAACCUUCGGGUCUAGUGGCGCACGGGUGCGUAACGCGUGGGAACCUGCACUUAGGUUCGGACUAACUCCCCGACAGGGGUGCUAAUACCGGAUAGUGUCUUCGGACCAAAGAUUUAUUGCCUUUGGAUGGGCCCGCGUUGGAUUAGCUAGUUGGUAGGGUAAAAGCAUACCAAGGCGACGAUUCAUAGCUGGUCUGAGAGGAUGGUCAGCCACACUGGGACUGAGACACGGCCCAGACUCCUACGGGAGGCAGCAGUGGGGAAUAGUGGACAAUGGGGGAAGGCCUGAUCCAGCAAUGCCGGGUGAGUGAUGAAGGCCUUAGGGUAGUAAAGCUCUUUUACCCGGGAUGAUAAUGACAGUACCGGGAGAAUAAGCUCCGGCUAACUCCGUG
rnacentral:rRNA from 1 species